UACGGGGGGGGCAAGCGUUGUUCGGAAUUACUGGGCGUAAAGGGCGCGUAGGCGGCCUGCUAAGUCGGACGUGAAAUCCCUCGGCUCAACCGGGGAACUGCGUCCGAUACUGGUGGGCUCGAAUCCGGGAGAGGGAUGUGGAAUUCCAGGUGUAGCGGUGAAAUGCGUAGAUAUCAGGAGGAACACCUGUGGUGUAGACAGCUUACUGGACCAUAACUGACGCUGAGGCACGAAAGCGUGGGUAGCAAACAGG
rnacentral:rRNA from 1 species